rnacentral:miRNA from 10 species
UUCUUCACUCACGUCCCUGUUCGGGCACCAAUUGUGGCUGUCGGUUCGGGACUGAAUGAAGAAGGA